GCACUAAAUUUAAAACAUAAAAUAAAAACAAACAGCACGCAGCCAGUCGGCGAGAUUCUUGGGCGGGGAGCUGCCAAUUUCCCGCAUAAACUGAGUAAACUCGCCGUCCAAGAUUCCUGGACGCCGAAUUUACUCCUUUUAUAAGGGGCAUCUCAUCGAAUGGCUGCGUCCCGAUGUAAAUAUCGGAAUACGUUCAAAUUAGAUUAACAGUGUAUCCGGGGGCAUAGCUACUGAGGUUUAUUAUCCUACCCGAUUUGUUUUAUUAGAGAUACCUGAAAAUCAGCUACACCAGUGUUUGUAAGUUCUGAUAGGAUCCGUAUAUGACUGAAAGGGCCACUUUUUUGG